GGCUCAAAAAUCAACGCUGGCGGGGGUCCUUACCCCCAUCCAAGUCGAACCGGGAAAAGUCCCSSCAAGGGGAUCCAGUAGAGUGCCAACCGGGGGAGUAACGCGUGGGSCGACCUUACCUUCGAGUGGGGGAUACCUUUCCGAAAAGGAGGGCUUAAUCCCNCAUGACCAUCCCGUGUUUGGAUACACGGAAAUCAAAGCCGGGGAUCGUAAGACCUGGCGCUUGAAGAGGGGCCUGCGUCCGAUUAGCUAGUUGGCGAGGUAAUGGCUCACCAAGGCUCCGAUCGGUAUCCGGCCUGAGAGGGCGGACGGACACACUGGAACUGAGACACGGUCCAGACUCCUACGGGAGGCAGCAGUGGGGAAUUGUUCGCAAUGGGCGAAAGCCUGACGACGCAACGCCGCGUGGAGGAUGAAGACCUUCGGGUCGUAAACUCCUUUCGACCGAGAUGAAUAUCCCUCGACCUAACACGUCGAGGGAGUGACAGUAUCGAGGGAAGAAGCCCCGGCUAACUCUGUGCCAGCAGCCGCGGUAAUACAGGGGGGGCAAGCGUUGUUCGGAAUUACUGGGCGUAAAGGGUUCGUAGGUGGCUCGCUAAGUCAGACGUGAAAUCCCUCAGCUUAACUGGGGAACUGCGUCUGAUACUGGAGAGCUUGAGUGCAGGAGAGGAACGCGGAAUUCCAGGUGUAGCGGUGAAAUGCGUAGAUAUCUGGAGGAACACCGGUGGCGAAGGCGGCGUUCUGGACUGCAACUGACACUGAGGAACGAAAGCCAGGGGAGCAAACG
rnacentral:rRNA from 1 species